CCUGUCGAACGCUGCUUUUUUCGUGUAGUGGAGCUGCAUAAGCCUUGCUCUCCACUUUCUGGAGGAUUGUUUGUUGUUUUGAAAUCAGUGGUAUUAGAGUAGGAUAGCUAAAGAGAUGGAGAAAACACCUGUCUCCGGAUUACAUCUCCAAACUAAGGGUAACCGUGACAUGGCAUUCGUGACAGGGAGACAAGAUACAUGCAUGAUGAUGCACGGUAUAUGGGUGACUACCUCAUGAAGCUGGUUGAGAGAAUGCCAAAAGUGUGAGAAGCAGUAAUCGAGGGAAACGGUGGCUACUUUGAAGAAUCUCAAAUGAAAAUAUAUUUUGAUUUGUCCAACACAUUUUUUGUUAAUACUUUAUUCCAUGUGUUAUUUGAUAGUUUCGAUGUCUUCACUAUUAUUCUACAAUGUAGAAAAUAGCAAAAAUAAAGAAAAACCCACGAAUGAG